AACGAACGCUGGCGGCAUGCUUAACACAUGCAAGUCGAACGAGACCUUCGGGUUUAGUUGCGCACGGGUGCGUAACGCGUGGGAACAUGCCCUUAGGUUUGGAAUAACUCCCCGAAAGAGGUGUUAAUAACGGAUAAUGUCAUCGGAUAUAAGAAUUAUCGCCUUUGGUUGGGUUCGCGAUGGUUUAGGUGGUUGGUAGGGGAAUAGCGUACCAUGAGCACGUUCGAGAGCUAGUGUGUGACCAUGACCAGCCGCAGUGGGACUGAGACACGGCCCAGACUCGUGCGGGAGGCAGCGGGAGGGAUUAUUGGAGGAUGGACAAUAGCCUGAUCCAGCAAUGCGGGGUGAGUGAUGAAGUCCGUAGUGUAGUGAAGCUCUAUUACCCGAGAUGAUAAUGACAGUACCGGGAGAAGAAGCGCCGGCUAACUCCGUG
rnacentral:rRNA from 1 species